rnacentral:rRNA from 1 species
UACGGGGGGGUGCGAGCGUUGUCCGGAAUCACUGGGCGUAAAGGGCGCGUAGGCGGUUUGAUAAGGCUGUGGUGAAAGCCCGGGGCUCAACCCCGGGUCUGCCGUGGCGACUGUCAGACUGGAGGGCUCGAGAGGCAGACGGAAUUCCUGGUGUAGCGGUGAAAUGCGCAGAUAUCAGGAGGAACACCGGUGGCGAAGGCGGGUCUCUGGGCCGAUACUGACGCUGAGGAGCGAAAGCGUGGGGAGCGAACAGG